GUGUAUCCCCAGCUUUGAGAACUGAAUUCCAUGGGUUUUCUCAAUGUCAGACCUGUGAAAUUCAGUUCUUCAGCUGGGAUAUCUCUG
rnacentral:pre_miRNA from 1 species